UAAUGGUGUUUAUUACUGUAUCAGGUGAAUAUGUAUGGUUUUAUGCUGCCUUGACCCAUCUUAUCAUGUGUGAAUAUGACUUCCCGUAGAAACCUGAGAUUGCAGCUGCUGAGGAAAGGUCUCAUUGUGGAGACAAAAGUGCUACUGAGAUACCUGGAGCCACUUCUGUGACAUGGAGCAUCAUGGGAACUAAUAAACUGGCCUUAUGGUUUGCCUGAAAUCA
rnacentral:lncRNA from 1 species